ACUUCAUAUAUUACUUGGAAAGAUUAGUGACACACGUUUAGAAACAAAGGGAUGUUUUAAAAGACCCACUUUUCCAAAGAUCCAUGGGCUAUUUAGUAACAUAAAUGUUACUAUCUCAUGAAUUUGAUAUAUCAUGACUGUAAAAGUGAGAAGGAACAAAGGCAUUCAUUAACAGAUGAGUGGUUCACCUAAAACCAAUAAAAUCAAAUGGGAGUUUUGCUAUAGACUUUUACACAACAUGAACUUAGUCCUCUGAUUGUAUGUCUUUCACUUUGCAUGUUUGUUUAAAUCGCAAAAUGCAAGGUAGUUGCCUCCAGUGCAUUGAGAAAACACAAAAUUGAAAUCUGGCUGGUGUUGCCAUGUUAUUUUUCAUAUUUUACGUAAUGGUGGUAUAUUAGUUCCGGUCACUGAUGAUGCAGAACAAAUAUGAACUAAAAGCUGCAUUUUUUAACUGAAUUAUCUAUUUUAAUUAUGCAUUUUUCUGUCAUUUUAUUUGUGGUUGGCCUUAUUAUUCUGAGUUUGGAUUCCAACAAGGCUGCUAAGUUUCUGUUCUACAGAUCUGGCAGCUGCUACUCCUAGCACUUGUGGAUAACCCUUCAAGUAACAAACUUUGUCAAUUUGUGCAAGAGGAAAUAUAAUAUUCUCAGCAGGACACAGAUUUGUGAAAAUGGCUGAAUGUGAAGCAAACACUUGUAAUCAUUCUACAAAGUGCAACAGGGAGCCACUGAUGCAUACAGAGAUAUGUUUUUCAGCAUCUUGUAACAGACUAUUUCUUAAGGUUGUAAUCGCAGAGUCCUUUGUUAAUACAGUGCUCCUAUUGCAGAUUGUAUGAGAGCACAGGUCAUUGCUUCCUACCUUAGCUGACUGCCUUGGAAGGACUAGCACACUUUUGAACAGGAAAUUGUCUACAAAUAAUGUUUAGCUGUGCACUUGGUGAAAUUCACUGCCAUAAUGUGCUCUCAUGACAAAUGGUUUAUCUCACUUCUCAUUAAAUAAGUCCAAAACCUAAUUUCUCAGACACUUAGACAACUUAUUCAGCUGUCCUCAAAUGGGAAAACAUUGCAACUUGAGAAAACAAGGAUUUAUCACAGGUCAACUUAAAGCCACUAAAAUGGAAGAAUAAUGCAAUCUUGCCAAACCCAUGCACUUUCAAGCAGAGACAAUCUAAUGAUUCAAAGAGAAUAUAAAAUACACCAAACACUGCAAAUUUAGAGGAUGCAGUGCUGAAUUUAGAUGUAUUAUUCACAAGCACAUAUUUCAAAAAAAGCUAAUAAAAUCGGAAUUGAUCAAUCAUCCCAUGGGGCUCAAAGAAUGAAGGACAGGCACCAGUAAGAACCAUGAUAAAUGGAUUGGAGUAUAUAAUGGACAGUGUGCUGCAGCAUAUGGAGGGCUACACUGAACCGAUGUUUACCCUGUGGAUGCAAGUUUUCUGUGGGCAUCAUUACUCAGCUAAGAGGUUGAAAUAUUCAGAAUCAAAGAUGAACAAAUGGCUGCCCAAUUAAAAUGAAGGUGAGUGUGAUCUAUGUAUUUGUUCUUCUUCAUACUGAUUCCUGAAAGUAAAAGUCCAGAACCGAUAUGGCAUUUGCAAGAGAACAACAACGAAUCAUGGACGCGGGUGGCGCUGUGGGUAAAAGCCUCAGCGCCUAGGGCUUGCCGAUCGAAAGGUCGGCGGUUCGAAUCCCCCGCGGU